UAAGCUAUAUGUAGACAUUACGUUGCCUAUAUAUUGUAUGCAGUGAACUAUGCCCUUUAUUAGUGUAUCAACUAUAAAACAGUCCUCUACUUGUCUGAACCUUUGGGUCACCAGUGUAACGCCAUUCUAGAUUUUGCUUGUUCA